UUAGUUAUUCAUAAAUUUGAUAACUGCUCGGCACGAGUGAAAAACAUUCCGUGUUUAAAUUCAAUCAAAGUUGACGUCUGUCGAUUAGCACCAGGCACUGUGUGGGAGGAAAUCCCAUCCGAAAAUGGAACCAAAAGAUCUACGGGCGGAGAAAAAACGGGAAAACAUUGAACCAUACUGCACCUGAUUUCGAUCUCUUCCUCAUGUGGAUCCCUGGCCACAAGGACAUUAUAGGAAGCAGCAAAGUGCCAGGCAUGGAACGGCGCUUGAAGACUUAAAGAUGUCAAUCGACUAAGACCAUAUUCAACUCCAUUUCAAGGGCUAUUAGCCAGACACUUGCGACACUUACAACAUGGAAAUCUCAAUUGGCAAUUAUCCACUUCUGCAGAAAAGGUGAAAAAUAAUUGAAUCUAAAUGAAAGGCAAUGCGACAAUCGACAAUCAAAUACUGGUCCGAAAAUCUGUCCGAUUGGCUGGAAAUAAUUCACUUAACCGAUAAUUCCUGGUACCAUCACUCGUCACUUUGGCUGGGAGCCGGAGUCGGAGCCGGGGUCGGAGCCGGGGUCGGGGACGGGGCUCUCCUGGCCUGCCAAACACUUUAGUGGUUAAACAAUGGAUUUCUGUUGUUGCAGUUGCAUAAAUUUCGGGCUAAAAACAACCCAAUCGACAGAGAGAGAGAGAGCCCAGGACCCGCCCAUUCCUCGCCCUCUGCUCGGUUGCAUGUCACAAACGCUAAAACAACAUGCACUUAAAAAAGCCAGAAACAUCUCGUACUCAUCGCCCCCUACCCCCCCUGC